rnacentral:rRNA from 1 species
AUUGGACGCUGGCGGCAUGCCUUACACAUGCAAGUCGAACGGUAACAGGUCUUCGGAUGCUGACGAGUGGCGAACGGGUGAGUAAUACAUCGGAACGUGCCUAGUAGUGGGGGAUAACUACUCGAAAGAGUAGCUAAUACCGCAUGAGAUCUACGGAUGAAAGCAGGGGACCUUUGGGCCUUGUGCUACUAGAGCGGCCGAUGGCAGAUUAGGUAGUUGGUGGGAUAAAAGCUUACCAAGCCGACGAUCUGUAGCUGGUCUGAGAGGACAACCAGCCACACUGGGACUGAGACACGGCCCAGACUCCGACGGGAGGCAGCAGUGGGGAAUUUUGGACAAUGGGCGAAAGCCUGAUCCAGCAAUGCCGCGUGCAGGAUGAAGGCCUUCGGGUUGUAAACUGCUUUUGUACGGAACGAAAAAGCUCCUUCUAAUACAGGGGGCCCAUGACGGUACCGUAAGAAUAAGCACCGGCUAACUACGUGCCAGCCGCCGCCGUAAUAC